UACGUAGGGGGCGAGCGUUGUCCGGAAUCAUUGGGCGCAAAGAGCGUGUAGGUGGCUUGGAAAGUCUUACGUGAAAGCCUGCGGCUCAACCGCAGAAGUGCGUAGGAAACUUCCUCGCUAGAGUCCGGAAGAGGAGAGCGGAAUUCCUGGUGUAGCGGUGGAAUGCGCAGAUAUCAGGAGGGACACCCGUGGCGAAGGCGGCUCUCUGGGACGGUACUGACACUGAGACGCGAAAGCGUGGGGAGCGAACAGG
rnacentral:rRNA from 1 species